UAGUCAAUCCUCUUGAGGGAGAACUGCGAAAGGCUCAUUAAAUCACACCUAAUGUACUGGAUAGUUACAGUUACUUGGAUAACUGCGGUAAUUCUGGAGCUAAUACAUGCAAAACAGCCCCAACUCACGGAGGGGUGCUUUUAUUAGACUAAAACCAAACGGCUUCGGUCGUCCCAUUGGUGAAUCUGAAUAACUUUGAGCGGAUCGCAUGGCUUCACGCCGGCGACGUAUCCUUCCAAGGUGUGACCUAUCAACUGUCGACUGUGGCAUAGACGCCCACAGUGGUUUUGACGGGUAACGGGGAAUUAGGGUUCGAUUCCGGAGAGGGAGCCUGAGAAACGGCUACCACUUCUAAGGAAGGCAGCAGGCACGCAAAUUACCCACUGGCCAAAGGCCGAGGUAGUGACGAAAAAUAACGAUACCAGACUCAUCCGAGGCCUGGUAAUCGGAAUGAGCACACUUUAAAUCCUUUAACGAGGAACCAUU
rnacentral:rRNA from 1 species